CAUGUGGGACCCGAGGAAAAUGUCCUUGCACGUUUGGAGGCGAAAGAGAGAAGUAUUCUACUGGAAGUCCGGUGCUUCUCGUGAGGCACAGUCAUUGAGGCAGAAGGGACAAGUGUUCAUUUAUGUCCCCAUGCAAACUCCCCUUGUCCCCCCUUGGAAUCGUGCCGAGGGAUCUGGAGACGUCCUAGAGAGGUUUGGGGGCAUCCAGGGGGUUCUGGACUCAUGCAGAAGAGUCUGGAGAUGUCCAAGGAGGAUCCAGGGAGUCCCCAGGUAGGUCCUGUGGGCCCCUGGAAGGGUCUGGCAGCUCCCACGAUGGGCCCAGGAGCUCUGAGGAGUCUCUGGGCUGAUCUGGAGAUGUCCCAGUAGAGUCUGCGAGGGUCCAGGGAGUCCUCGUGUGGGUCUGAGUGGUCAUCCAGAAGUGUCUGGGGGUGUCCCAGAGAGGACUUGGAGGGUCUGGGGGUCUUUAGGUGGGUUCAGAGGAUCUUGUCUUCUGGAAGG
rnacentral:lncRNA from 7 species